rnacentral:lncRNA from 1 species
UGUGGCAGAAUCCUCCCAUGGGCCUGGAUGAGAAAAGGACAUACAAUUAAACAAUUACUUUUAGAAAUGUUUGUAAUUUGAAAAGCAUGAAGCAUUCUAAAAGCGAAUAUGAGAGAGCGUCCUGGGUGACAGAGUUUAAGUAUCUUUCUCUGGCAGGAAGGAGUUCCGCCUUUGCUUACCUACUUCUGCCUUCAGUUUUCCUCCACAUCACUCAGUUGGCAAUGCUUAAACCUUUCAGUGUUUCACUGUUAUAAAAUAGGAAUUUAAGACUGUAAGGACGAAGGAAGUAGUUACAGGACAGUUCUUGAACAAGUCUUCCAUUGGCUUCAUUAGCAGGCUUUCAUAUGUCUGCAAGUGUAUUCAGCCAGAACACUUAACUUCGCAUACAUCUGUUGUAUUUCCUUUCAUUUCCACAU